rnacentral:rRNA from 1 species
UUCCGGUUGAUCCCGCCGGAGGCUACCGCUAUUGGAGUUCGAUUAAGCCAUGCGAGUCGCGAGUCUUCAAGGACUCGGCGUACCGCUCAGUAACACGUGGGUAACCUGCCCUAUGCUGGGGGAUAACCUCGGGAAACUGAGAAUAAUACCCCAUAGUUCACCACGCCUGGAACGGUGGGUGGAUGAAAGCUCCGGCGGCAUAGGAUGGGCCUGCGGCGUAUCAGGUUGUAGGGGGUGUAAUGUACCCUCUAGCCAUCUACGCGUACGGGUGUUGGGAGACAUCGCCCGGAGAUGGAUUCUGAGACACGAAUCCAGACCCUACGGGGUGCAGCAGGCGCGAAAACUUGGCAAUGCGAGCAAUCGUGACCAGGGAACUCCAAGUGCAUCGGGUAAGACCGAUGCUUUUCUUGACUCUUCAAAGGUCUUGGAAUAAGGGGUGGGUAAGGACGGUGCCAGCCGCCGCGGUAAUACCGGCGCCUCAAGUGGUAGUCGCUUUUAUUGGGCCUAAAACGUCCGUAGCCGGUUUGGUACAUUCGUGGGUAAAUCAAGGCGCUCAACGUCUUGAAUUCUGCGAGCACGGCCAGACUUGGGACCGGGUGAGGUGUGGGGUACUCUCAGGGUAGGGGUAAAAUCCUGUCAUCCUGAGAGGACCACCUGUUGCGAAGGCGCCACACUAGAACGGAUCCGACGGUCAGGGACGAAGCCUAGGGGCACGAACCGGAUUAGAUACCCGGGUAGUCCUAGGUGUAAACGCUGUGGACUUGAUGUUGGGAGUGCUCCGAGCACCCUCAGUGUCGAAGCGAAGGUGAUAAGUCCACUGCCUGGGGAGUACGGUCGCAAGGCUGAAACUUAAAGGAAUUGGCGGGGGAGCACUGCAACCUGAGGAUUGUGCGGUUUAAUUGGAUUCAACGCCGG